CAAGCGCUGCACCGGUAUUCCAAAUCCGUUUAAAAACCGGGGUUAUUGGGCUGGAAGAUUGCCCAACAUAGCCAAUACUGAUGAGUACUGACGGCGCAUCUCCCCCCAAGUGUGCUGUCAGCCAAGGUGCCGUGGACCGCGCAUCUUGAUUUACUCCUAAUGGUCUUAACCCGGAUUCAUCCCCCAGAACCCGG
rfam:Vibrio sp. J237 Contig_7, whole genome shotgun sequence.